CCCCAGAUACGUUAUUCUAUAAGCUCUCAUUUUUAUCUAAAAACUCUGCUAAAAUUUUUGUUCGAGCACUCCAUUCUUGUUGAGAUAGAGAACUGACUUGAGCGUCGGAAGGUCUUGCCCGAGCAACCCCACCUCCGGUUUAGACUUCUUUUGCAGGUCCCGACGGCAACCACGACUCCAGCUUCUCCGGCGCAAGCAGAUUUUUGCACCAACACUAUAUUUCAUAUAUUUCACCUA
rnacentral:lncRNA from 1 species